rnacentral:tRNA from 1 species
AUUUUAAUAAAUUUUA